rnacentral:rRNA from 1 species
UACGUAGGGUCCGAGCGUUGUCCGGAAUUAUUGGGCGUAAAGGGCUCGUAGGCGGUCCGUCACGUCGGGAGUGAAAACUCAGGGCUCAACCCUGAGCGUGCUUCCGAUACGGGCGGACUAGAGGUAUGCAGGGGAGAACGGAAUUCCUGGUGUAGCGGUGAAAUGCGCAGAUAUCAGGAGGAACACCGGUGGCGAAGGCGGUUCUCUGGGCAUGUCCUGACGUGAGGAGCGAAAGUGUGGGGAGCGAACAGG